AUAUAGACUAUGGAUUUUAGGUGUAAAUGGCAUUAAGAUUAUUAAUAGUAGAGAUGUGAAGUUCAAUGAACUUGAUAUACCUUGUCUUAAAAACAUAGUAAGUUAGAACAAACGGACUGAGGAAUGAGAAUCUUCUACUGGAAAGAAGAUAGAGUUUGAGGUGAAGAGAUUAGGUGAUAAUCUAGAGAAAAGUGAAAUCCAACCUCAAGAAGAAUAUGAUCAAGAAGCAGUGAUAGAAUAACCUGAACUUGAAAUUCCUGAAACUGUUGUCCCGAAUAAAAAAAUCUGUAGAUACUAAUUUGGAUGAUUACCAAUUAGUGAGGGAUAGGGAGAGAAGACAAGUGAAGCCCAAUUUGAAAUACAUCUCUUCAAAUUUUAUGGAAUUUGUCCUUGUUUCAGGUGAAGCUUUGGAGUCAGUUGAACCGGCUUUCUUUGAGGAAACGGUUGACUAUAAAAAUUCUGAAAGUUGGAAAAAGGCUAUAAGAGAAAAGCUCCAGCCUCUAAACAAAAAUGAGACUUGAAAGUUGGUUGAAAAACCAAAGAAUCAAAAAGCAGUCCAUUGUAAAAGGAUCUACAAGUUAAAAGAAGGAGUAGGACCUAAAGACCCUUUAACAUAUAAAGUUGGGUUGGUUGCGAAGGGAUUUACUCAAAGAGAGGGGAUAGACUAUAAUAAGGUGUUUUCACCGGUUAUUAAGUACAACACUAUCAAGUUAGUUUUAGCCUUAGUUGUCCAGUAUGAUUGGGAAAUGGAGCAACUAGAUGUUAAGACGGCUUUUCUUCAUGGAGAAUAGGAUGAAUUGAUUUACAUGUCUCCACUUCAAGGGUUCAAGGUGAAGGGGAAAUCAGAACUUAUGUGCUUGCUUAGAGAGUCCUUGUAUGGUCUUAAGUAGAGUCUUAGGCAAUGAUAUAAGAGAUUUGAUGCAUAUAUGCUUAAAAUUGGUUUUAAGAAGAGUGAAUUUAAUGCAUGCAUGUAUUCUCGUACCUCUAAAAUAGGCUGUGAAGUUUUUUUUAUUGUUAUAUAUGGAUGAAAUGUUGCUUGCUAGCUCUAAUAAAGCUGAAAUCAUAAAGACGAAAAACCUUUUAAAAUCUGAAUUUGAUAUAAAAGACUUAGAAGAAGCAAGAAAAAUCCUUGGCAUGGUUGUUAAAAGGAAUAUGGCUGAUAAUAGGAUGACUAUUAAUCAAAAGUCUUAUUUUUAAUAAGUGUUAACCAAAUUUGGUAUGA
rnacentral:lncRNA from 1 species